AUUGAACGCUGGCGGCAUGCUUUACACAUGCAAGUCGAACGGCAGCACGGGGGCAACCCUGGUGGCGAGUGGCGAACGGGUGAGUAAUGCAUCGGAACGUGCCCUGUCGUGGGGGAUAAAACACCGAAAGAUGUGCUAAUACCGCAUACGACCUGAUGGUGAAAGCGGGGGACAGUAAGGCCCCGCGCGAUAGGAGCGUGCGCUGUCUGAUUAGCUAGUUGUCGGGGUAAAGGCCUACCAAGGCGACGAUCAGUAGCUGGUCUGAGAGGACGACCAGACACACUGGGACUGAGACACGGCCCAGACUCCUACGGGAGGCAGCAGUGGGGAAUUUUGGACAAUGGGGGCAACCCUGAUCCAGCCAUGCCGCGUGCGGGAAGAAGGCCUUCGGGUUGUAAACCGCUUUUGGCAGGAACGAAACGGUGCGGGCGAAUACCCUGUGCUAAUGACGGUACCUGCAGAAUAAGCACCGGCUAACUACGUGCCAGCAGCCGCGGUAACAC
rnacentral:rRNA from 1 species